rnacentral:lncRNA from 1 species
CUGAUAAAUGGGCCCAAUAUACCCGGCCCAAAAUAGGAGAAAUAUCAUGACCCAACAUUACCCCCUAGUUUUUUAGUUAAACAGGAUGUUUAAUGGAAAACUAUAUAUGAUUCAUGAUAUUUAGAAUUCAAUAAAGGCCCAAGGAUAGGAAAUAAGUGAAUCAUACCCACUUUUAACAUACGAAGUGGAAUAAGGGAGGGUUGGAUAGUGGAUACCCAGAGCAAUAAGUCCAAUCUGAUAAAGGAU